GAUGAUCGGUGCUUGCACCGAGAUUCAACAUGGAACGAGUGGCGGACGGGUGAGUAACACGUGGGUAACCUGCCCUUAAGUGGGGGAUAACAUUUGGAAACAGAUGCUAAUACCGCAUAGAUCCAAGAACCGCAUGGUUCUUGGCUGAAAGAUGGCGUAAGCUAUCGCUUUUGGAUGGACCCGCGGCGUAUUAGCUAGUUGGUGAGGUAA
rnacentral:rRNA from 1 species